CCUGGGAACUUAUUAGAAAUGCAAAUUCUAGAGGCUUACCCCAAACCUCCUGAAUUAGAAACUCUGGGAAUGGAGCCCAGCAAUCUGCAUUUUAAC
rnacentral:miRNA from 1 species